GAUGAACGCUGGCGGCGUGGAUAAGGCAUGCAAGUCGCGCGCACCUUCGGGUGAGCGGCAAACGGGGUAGUAUAAGGUAGGAAUGUACCCAUAACUCUGGGAUAAUCACUUGAAAAGGUGUCUAAUACCAGAUAGUCUCGCAAGAGUAAAGCUCCGGCGGUUAUGGAUCAGCCUACUGCCUAUCAGCUAGUUGGUGAGGUAAUGGCUCACCAAGGCUAUGACGGGUAGGGGACGUGAGAGCGUGACCCCCACCACUCGCACUGAGACACUGGCGAGACUCCUACGGGAGGCUGCAGUCGAGAAUCUUCGGCAAUGGGCGAAAGCCUGACCGAGCGACGCCGCGUGCAGGAGGACGCCUCUAGGGGUGUAAACUGCUUUUAUGUGGGAACAAGACUUCGGUUUGAGCGUACCACAUGAAUAAGGAGCUGCUAAUCGCG
rnacentral:rRNA from 1 species